rnacentral:rRNA from 1 species
AGUAGGUAUGAUUCGUUUGCAUGGUUUGCCUUGUAUUUAUCUAGGGGGUCUAAAAUGAGGUACUUGUAUGCAUAACACUAACUGACCGGUCAAUACCUGCGGGCGUUUGAGAGGCCAAAUUUUAACAAGUCCGGCUGUAAAUGCUCCAAUUUUGACAUAAUAUAGAUCCAAUAUGCACUACUCAAAUUCUGAACACCCAACACCGUGUUGUUUUGUUUUGUACUAUUGUCCUAGUAAAACCAACCCUGCAAUUAUCCCCCGUGCCCAUACGAUUUGUUUAUUCAAUGUCGCAUUUGUGAUGAUCGGCUUGUCCGCUGCAGCCAAGGCAGGCCGAUGGCCCGGAAUUUUCGACAAAUAAGACCACCAAUGGUUUCGUAUUAACAGAAAAGACCACCUGCAAUCUAUAUUGACAAAAAAGACCACGUCGGCUGUGGCGGCAUCUCCGGCGGCCGACACGUAGCACAUGCCGCCACGGACAGCAGCGGCAGGACCUGCCGCCACAGCACACGGCGACAGCUCGGCUGCAACAGCAUUUCAUAUGCGGGUGGCAGCUGGUAACGGAAUGGAGAGAAGAGGCUGGCCCUGCCGCCAGUCCCUAUGGCGGCACCUCCUUUUUUCUGUUGCUGCAGACAUCCACAAUUGCAAUUUGUGCCGUUGCAUCUGCGUGCCGGUACAUAUCUAAUCAAAUGGGUCAGGUCCAUUAUAAAUGGCCUUGAGCUCCCGCGCCGCAUGCCUCUUAUCUCAUUCAUCUGCAUGGUUGUAGUUUUGUGGCUGUUUCUAGGUUGGCUGCACGUACGUUGUCAAAGUUCAGAGAGAGAGGGGAAGCACAUAUGGCUGCAUGCAUUGCAGUGCGGUGCAGGCUGGGGCGGCAUGAAUGAUAAGGGGCACGCAAUACUUGUACUAGCCUGUCGUCUGAGCAGCCAGAAUGCAGAGGAGCUGCCGCCAUGGGGAGUGGCGGCAGACCCGCCUCGUCUCUCCGUUCCGUUUUAAGCUGCCGCCCGCGUGUGAAUCCUGUUGCAGCCGAGCUGCCGCCCUGCGCUGUGGCUGCAGGUCUUGCCGCCGCCAGCUGUGGCGGCAGAAUUGCAGAUGGUCCUUUUUGUCAAUAUGAAAGCACAGGUGGUCUUGUUUGACAAAAAAUCGGUGGCCCGGACGCCACAAAAGUCCUCGUCAUCGGCUCCAUUUGUUUGCGCAUAUUGGGCAGCGAGCACUCUUGACAGCCAGUGAUUGGCACGUUGUUCGCCAGUAGGUACGUGGUACCAGCCAGACAGAAACCUUCCAAAGCUCCAACCAUGGCACGACGCCGUUCACAUUUCUGGCUAUAUAUUCGGUAGGUCAGCUUCUGAAUAAUGCUACUGCCCUGCCUACUGCCUAGCUCAAGAAACAGGGUUAAUCUCGAGGCAAGUGAUAGGCGCCGGCGCACCGGCUCAAAAUUGGGCCGGUCAGCGCGUACCCGUUCGAUUGCAGUUUCCUGUACCGUCAGAUCUGGCCCCCUUUCUUCAUCCUCCUCUGAUACAUCAUGCGGAAAAAAAGAAAAACGAAAAUCUCCAGCACAUCCCGCCUCACUCACGCAGCCUGCCAUGGCCGCCCCUGCCGCUGACUUUGAAGCCACGCCGGCUCGCCGUCCUCGCAGCACUCGGCCUCGCCGGAUCCAACGGGCGUCGUCGCUGCAACCAGCCGCCAUCAUGCAGAAAGAGGGCUGUCUCAUAGCACAUCGGAUGCCUCUGCCGUUGCAGCAACUAAUCGCCUCCUUCAUAGCAUGCUUGUCGCAACAUCAACCUGCCCCGCCGACCGCAGCUCGCUGGCAUCACGCACUCGCGCGCGUCGGACUGAAGCUUUUUUCCAUGCCAGUCCAAGCUUUUCCCCAUCCUCUCUGGUUGAAGCUUUUUUUUCGAGGUUGAAGCUUUCCCCAUGCCGAUUGUAGCAAAAAUAAAAUCAGCAACAAAAGCAAAACAAAUACUCCAGUAAUCUGUUGGAGCAAAACAAUUAGCCCCUUGUAGCAAAAAAUAACACCGGCUCCAGCAAACUCAAAAAUUGUUCUAACAAAACAAAAAUGAUAGUUCCAGCAAAAAUGAAAAUAAUCUUGUCGGUUUCAACUCUUCUUAGGCUGGUUGUAGCAGAAACGAUUGCUGGUUCCAGCAAAAAGACCCGAUGCAGAGACACAUGGUACCCAUCGUUCAUCGUCAUCCUAGCUUCAUCAUAGCCUAUGCAGCAGAUUCAGAAUGCUAGUUCCAGCAAAAAUCAAAAGAGGUUCCAGCAAAAAUUUGAUGUACUAAAAAAUGGCGGGGACAACGCCACAUCCUCUCAAUUUGUAGCAAAAUCAGGAGAAGGUUCCAGCAAAAAAAAGAAGUGGCUCCAGCAAAAACCAAAAGAGGUUCCAGCAAAAAACAAAAGAUGUUCAUCAAAAAAAUCAAACGAGAUGGUAGCAAAAAAAGAAAGGGGUUGUAGCAAUAAAAAUGGGUGGAUCCAGCAAAACAAAAACUUGGUUCCAGCCAAAAAGAACACUGGUUCCAGCAAAAUCCCAGAAAUAACAAAUCUCCAACCAAUUCGACGUAGCAAAACAAAAAGGCGGUUCCAACAAAAAAUUAUUAUGGUUCCAGCAAAAAUACCACAAACAUCAAACUUCAAGAAAUUUGAUUGUAGCAAAACAAACAGCCGGAACAUUUUACCCCGGAUCCAGCAAAAAUCCCACUAACAGCAAACUCCAAACACAAAAUCGAUUGCAGCAAAGGAAACAAUCGGUCCCAGCUACAAAUUACUGCCGUUCCAGCAAAAAUCCCAGAAAUAGCAAACUCCAAGGAAACUUGAUUGUAGCAAAAAAGACAGCUUGUUCCAGCAACAAUGAAUUCCAGUUCCAGCAAAAAAAAGGUACCUGGAGAGCUCGCCGCCCAUCGCGUGCACGCACAGCCCCCUGUCUCCAGUCGCUUUGGGCAACCAACCCCCUCCACUGCUGACACGGAGGAGUGGAAUAGUGGGUUGGGCAUGACUUGUAAGGAGAGAAGGGGAUGAGUUCGCCGGAGAAAGCCGACGGCGGCAUAAAAUGGAUGGGAAGCGGCUGAGAAGCUCCGAGUGCGCGGGGCGCGCAGAGGUGGUGGCCCUCGACGGUGCUGCUGCCGGAGAUGCGAUUUGAGGAUGAGAUGGAUGCUCGGGAAAGAAA